CUUAGAUCUUUGAGUUCAGCUCAUGAAAAAUGGGGGCAAAAACAAGUGUUGCAUUUAUAAUUUUGCUCAGUGUAAUUUCUUUUGACGUCAAGACUCCUAAAAAUAGCUGUAUAGGUUAAUGACACCUUAAAGGGUUAAAACAAGCACCAUGACCACUUCAGUAAUUUGAAGUUGUCAUGGUGCCUGAAGUCUGUAUGUGCA